AAAUGGUGUUUCUAUAUGUUUGAUUUUGCAAAUGUCUACUCAAUGUUUUAGUAUUUAAUUAAUGAGUGUUAAAUAUGAUUUUCCUCUACCUUGGAAUGUUAAAUUCUGUAAUAGAUAGUGCUGGAGGUUUAUGAACAUCCGAUACCAAGGAAAAUCAUACAUGUUACCACUUUCAUGUCACAAGUCAUUUAGAUUUAUGUUUGUAUCAUUACUUUCAG
rnacentral:lncRNA from 1 species